UGAGAUUUCCCCCCUCCCCCUUUGCAGGAUUCAUGCUGAUGUAUGCAGUCUGUUAUAGAGUAAAAACAGCGCAUGCCUUUCUGGAGUCAGAAUCCAUAAAUCCUGACGUAGCCUGUGCAUCUUAAAAAAAAAAAAAAAAAAAAAAAAAAAAACGCCUAGGUAUUUAAGUUGCUAUGGUCAUUCUUAUCUUAAACCAAAUGGAGAAACUACGGAUUUUUUUCUUUAUUACAGUUGGAUGGGCUGAAGACCGUAUUGCUUGCUAAGAGCUGGGGAUAUAUGCAUUUAUAUAGAUAUACACAUCUAUAUGUUUAUAAAUAUGUCAGUGUGUGAGUAUAAAGCGGUGGUUUCUUAGACUAACUGGUUUGACCUUGAACCUGUACCAGUCAAAACAGAAUAUUACUUUUAUUUAUGCAUUUAAUGGAUUGAAGAAAGAACAUUUGCUCUGUAACUGCGCUAGGGAGGGGAGAGGAGUGGAAUAUACCUAACCGUGUAUCUCCUGGGUUUGGCACCAUCAUUAUUGUUUAUUCUUAUUCUCUAAAAGCAGAAUCUUCUGAUGGCUCCCUUAGGUGAAGUUGGGAACUAUUUCGGUGUGCAGGACGCAGUACCCUUUGGGAGUGUGCCCGUUUUGCCGGUGGACAGUCCGGUUUUGUUAAGUGACCACCUGGGUCAGUCUGAGGCAGGUGGGCUACCCAGGGGGCCUGCGGUCACGGACUUGGACCACUUAAAGGGGAUCCUCAGGCGGAGGCAGCUUUACUGCAGGACUGGAUUUCAUUUAGAAAUCUUCCCCAAUGGUACUAUCCAGGGAACCAGGCAAGACCACAGCCGAUUUGGUAGGUAUUCUCCUUAA